rnacentral:rRNA from 1 species
GAUGAACGCUAGCUACAGGCUUAACACAUGCAAGUCGAGGGGAAACGAUAGAGAAAGCUUGCUUUUUCUAGGCGUCGACCGGCGCACGGGUGAGUAACGCGUAUCCAACCUGCCCAUCACUUGGGGAUAACCUGGCGAAAGUAAGACUAAUACCCAAAGAUAUCUCAAGAAGAAAUCUGAAUGAGAUUAAAGAUUUAUCGGUGAUGGAUGGGGAUGCGUCUGAUUAACUUAUUGGAGGGGUAACGGCCCACCAAGGCGACGAUCAGUAGGGGUUCUGAGAGGAAGGUCCCCCACAUUGGAACUGAGACACGGUCCAAACUCCUACGGGAGGCAGCAGUGAGGAAUAUUGGUCAAUGGGCGAGAGCCUGAACCAGCCAAGUAGCGUGCAGGAUGACGGCCCUAUGGGUUGUAAACUGCUUUUGUAAGGGAAUAAAGUGAGUCUCGUGAGACUUUUUGCAUGUACCUUAUGAAUAAGGACCUGCCAAUUCCGUGCCAGCAGCCGCCGUAA